rnacentral:rRNA from 1 species
AUUGAACGCUGGCGGAAUGCUUUCCACAUGCAAGUCGAACGGCAGCACGGGGGCAACCCUGGUGGCGAGUGGCGAACGGGUGAGUAAUACAUCGGAACGUGCCCAGUCGUGGGGGAUAACGUAGCGAAAGCUACGCUAAUACCGCAUACGAUCUAUGGAUGAAAGCGGGGGACCGUAAGGCCUCGCGCGAUUGGAGCGGCCGAUGGCAGAUUAGGUAGUUGGUGGGGUAAAGGCUCACCAAGCCUGCGAUCUGUAGCUGGUCUGAGAGGACGACCAGCCACACUGGGACUGAGACACGGCCCAGACUCCUACGGGAGGCAGCAGUGGGGAAUUUUGGACAAUGGGCGCAAGCCUGAUCCAGCCAUUCCGCGUGCAGGAUGAAGGCCCUCGGGUUGUAAACUGCUUUUGUACGGAACGAAACGGUGCUUUCUAAUACAGAGCACUAAUGACGGUACCGUAAGAAUAAGCACCGGCUAACUACGUGCCAGCCGCCGCAGUAAAAC